GACGAACGCUGGCGGCGUGCUUAACACAUGCAAGUCGAACGGAAAGGCCCUGCUUUUGUGGGGUGCUCGAGUGGCGAACGGGUGAGUAACACGUGUGUAACCUGCCCUUGACUGUGUGAUAACAUUAGGAAAAUGGGGCUAAUAUCGGAUAGGAGAUUCUGCUGCAUGGGGGGGGUUGGAAAGUUUCGGCGGUGGGGGAUGGACUCGCGGGUUAUGCGCUUGUUUGUGGGGUAGUGGUUGACGAAGGUUUUGACGGGUAGCCGGCCUGGGAGGUUGGCCGGCGACAAUGGUACUGAGAGACGGACCAGUAUGGUACGGGAGGCAGCGGUGGGAAACAUUGCACAGUGGGCGGGAGUCUGAUGCAGCGACGCCGCGUGCGUGAUGACGUCCUUCGGGUUGUGAACCGCUUUGGCCUGUGCCGAAGCGUGAGUGACGGUAAUGGGUAAAGAAGCACCGGCUAACUACGUG
rnacentral:rRNA from 1 species